CCCAUUUGUAAAAUUCAAGACUCAUUUGUUUUGUAGAAUGGCGAGUAAUUGGACUGUUUGUGGUGUAUGUAAUUUCCGAAACAUCAACAAAGCAUCAGUAGUGUGGUGUUCAGAAUGUGACGAGGGACUUUGUGGCGAGUGUAGAGAGCACCAUGGUGCAUCAAAAUCAACUAGGAACCAUGACACUAUUUCAAUUACAGAAUAUCAGAAGCUACCAACAAAUGUGUUAGAGAUAACACAAACAUGUCAAAAACACAAAGAACACUAUCAAACAUUCUGUAAGAAACAUGAUUGCCCGUGCUGUAGGAGGUGUGUUAUUGAGACACAUAAUGAUUGUAAUGAUUUGACAGCAAUAGAGGACAUCGUCAAAAAUGUCAAGUCAUCGAAUGCGUGGUUAGAGGUAGAGCAAAUAUUGGUCCAAAUGUUGAAAAAUGUACAAAGAAUUCGUAACGAUCGCACAGAAAAUUUAAAAUGUCUACAGGAUCAGAGGGUAGAGAUUGAACGUGAUAUAAACCAAACCCGGAAAAUGAUCAACGACCACUUAGACAAAAUACAGGACAAAAUAAUUAAAGAAUUAUAUGCUAAUGAAGAAAAUGAAAGUAAGAGAAUAAAGCUGUUGUUGUGUGAGAUUGAAGACAUUGAAAAGGGAAUUUCUGACCUCCAAGGUAACCAAAAUAACAUAAGGCAACAUGCAUCAGAACUUCAAACAUUUUUAGCAUUAAAGCACAUUGAAAAAGAGGUUUCUGAUAAAGCAGAAUGUAUUCAGUCCGUCCUUAAGAACGAGGACAUGAAGAUAAAAACACUGGCUUUGGAGGUUAACAAAGACGUACAAAACAUUUGCAGGGCUGAUUGUUUUGGGUCCGUUAGUGUUGAGU
rnacentral:lncRNA from 1 species